rnacentral:RNase_P_RNA from 1 species
GCGGAGGGCCGGAUGACCGCGUGGCAAGGCAGUAAUGCAAUGCCGCGAGGAAAGUCCGGACUCCAUGAGGCGACGGUGCCGGGUAACGCCCGGCGGGGGCAACCCCAGGGAAAGCGCCACAGAGAACAGACCGCCCCGGUCUGCCGGGGUAAGGGUGAAACGGUGGGGUAAGAGCCCACCGGGGGGCUGGCAACAGCGCCCGCAUGGCAAGCCCCACCGGGAGCAAUGCCGAAUAGGGACCGCGCGCGAAGCAAUUCGCAGGGCCGCCUUGCCCCAGCAGGUCCGGGUAGGCAGCUAGAUCCGGUCGGCAACGGCCGGGCCAGAGGAAUGGUCAUCCGCCUUGAAGCAAUUCAGGGUGACAGAAUCCGGCUUACAGGCCCUCCGCGCAG